GAUGAAGAACGCAGCGAAAUGCGAAAAGUAGUGUGAAUUGCAGAAUUCAGUGAAUCAUCGAGUCUUUGAACGCACAUUGCGCCCCCUGGUAUUCCGGGGGGCAUGCCUGUCCGAGCGUCAUUGCUGCCCUCAAGCACGGCUUGUGUGUUGGGCCCCGUCCUCCGAUCCCGGGGGACGGGCCCGAAAGGCAGCGGCGGCACCGCGUCCGGUCCUCGAGCGUAUGGGGCUUUGUCACCCGCUCUGUAGGCCCGGCCGGCGCUUGCCGAUCAACCCAAAUUUUUAUCCAGGUUGACCUCGGAUCAGGUAGGGAUACCCGCUGAACUUAAGCAUAUCAAUAAGCGGAGGA
rnacentral:misc_RNA from 1 species